rnacentral:rRNA from 2 species
UUUGGUGACUAUUGCAAAGGAGUCCACCUCUUCCCAUUCCGAACAGAGAAGUUAAGCCCUUUAGCGCCGAUGAUACUGCCUUUUGGUGGGAAAGUAGGUCGUUGCCGGAU